UGGAGUCCCCCUCGUUGAAGCGCAGUGCCUUUGUCUGUGGUCCAUCGAGCAAAUAUGGCGGCUUCGCAAUAGAUGGAAGGCUUGAGCGAGCAAAAAUGAAAUGAUUUCACUUCGGUGUUAUUGUCCACAAUCGCAGCUGCAGAAAGAAACAGUCCUUAGGAUUCCUAGGAAUGUCUUGUUUGGAGGAGAGUGCCAAAAUAGAGGAAAAUGACACCUCAAUGUCAAGAAACUCUCAGGACAUUUUGAACAGCGAGACAUUCUGUGCAGAGGGAACUACAUCUGGACCAUCAGUGCAUUGUCCUGAAGAGACCAUGGCACUACUCAGUGACCAAGGAGACCUCCUGACCACUGUUGGUUUUAUGGACACCAUCUGCUCAGAUGGACCAGCCAAGGCUGCUUACGUCAAUGGAUCCACCUCACCCCAUAUCUCAGAUGAAAUCUUGCUGGAUAUUUCAAAAAAUGUACCAGGAUUCCUUCCCAAAUCAUUACAUGCUCAGAAUUCAGUCACAACCAAUGUCCACUUUGAAGGACCUGAUCCACUCAGAAAAGAGGGGGAAAUAACAAUCAGGCAAACGCUAACUGCAGAGGAUGUGGAGCAUAGGGGCAUAUGGGGCUUUGAUACAGAAUCUCCAGAAAGCUCAUUAGAUCAUUAUGAUGAUGGAAAUGACCUUAACUGGAAUCCCCAAAGAGAAUUUAUGAAGUUCCUGUGGGAUGAUGAUAAUGGUCUCGAAAUGGAGGGAAAACUGUCCCCUGUUCCUUCACCCAUCAACCAUAAAAGAAGAGCUCCUUCACCGCUCGGCCAUAAAAGAAGACGACGUAAAGAAAAACUGGUGUUAAAAGUUGAUCCUUCAGAGGACAUCUACCCUGAGUUGAAUUUUGAAUCAAAAAAAGAUCACCUGGGUGAAGGAAGCCAGAUAGAAUGCAGUCCUGUUAAGAAGACACGUUCCCCAAGGAAACCAUCCAAAUUAAAGUCACCCAUUGUAAAACGUUCCAAGUAUUUUAAUGGAGCUGCUGAGGCAGUCAAACACCUGUUUGCCAAACCAGCAAAACCUAAGCCUAUUAGCAAGACUCAAAAGUUGGGAUUAAUUAGAGAAACUUUGCCAUCAGACUCUUGUUCUGUUGAGGAACCUACAUUUUUUCCCCAUAACAGUGGUUUUAAAGAGAAAUCUCAAGAACACAGACAAAUUACAUGUAAUACAGACACAACUAGUUCAAAGCCAUUCAUAUGCAAGGAAUGUGGACAGUGUUACCAUGAUCAGAGUUCGUUGUUAAAUCACAUAAGUGUUCACCAGGACAAGCGACCGAAAAUUACAGAAGAAAUAAAUGGGUUGCAUCAAAUUAAAGAUGAAGGUAAAGAUGCAAAGUUGCAGUGCCCCCAGUGCACCUUUGGAACAAACUGUCCAAACACCUUUGUACAACACGCUAAGACCCACGAGAAGGACAAGCGGUACUAUAGUUGUAAUAAGUGCGAUUUUGUCGAAAUGAAUGAGGUUGAACUGAGACGCCAUUUGCUUCAUAAACAUGGCAUCAGUGGGUCUGAUCUGACUGUUUGGAAAUCAGAUGGAUUUCAGGAGCGUAAAGUCAAUAAAUCAGUAUGUCCAAUUUCCUUCUCCCGUCCUUUUCAAAGAAAAACUAAAAACAUCAUUGGAAAUCAUGUUGAGGCUUCGUGCCAACCGCAGUUUAUAGAAGAUCAGGCAUCCUCACAUUCCCUUGACAAUUUUGAUGAAGAACCAUCUCCAACUGAAAAGUCAUUCUCUGUUUGCAAUGUUCUUACAUCAUGUGCAAAACCAACAGCAAGGUCGCCAAAAUUGUCAGUGAAGAUCCGAGCAUCGGACAAAAACAAAAGCUUGUCGUCCAGUGAGAAGUGUGGUCUUGUACGGAAGAAAAAGGUGUGGAUGAAUAAAGGUGUCCAAAGCCAAUCAAGAAUUGACAAAUCAAUUCCCACACUUUUAUCCAGAAAGAAACAUAGUAACCAGAGUGCCUCAGAAUGCAACACUCAUCAGGAGCCUGAUGGAAGCAGUACAACAGAGUGUCUUGACGAUUCCCUCAAUUGCGAGACCACUCUUUCCGGAACAGGUGCUAGUUUGUCCCCCUUAAAGUGUCUGAAAAGAUCAGCUAAAGAAGGGAACACUAAAAGAACUUCUAAGUCUGAUGAAAACAUUACUUGUUCAGAAGAUGUUGGAAACACCAACUAUAUGCAUAUAAGUUUGGGAAAGCAAACAUUAAAGAAGUCACCUUCCAAAAGGAAAAUGUCUACUCCAUUCCACAAUAUGCAGGGCCAAGAUAUUCUUUUAGAUUUCCCAAAACGCCGACAAAAUUUGAAGAAACCUGAAACAUCCAAGAGAAGUAAAGAAAUUAUCAACAACGGUCAUUUUAUGUGUGAUUCUAAUGAUGAUCUUGGACCUGAAGAAUGUGAAAGUAACGAGAAUGCUAAUGCACGUUUUGUUAAAAAACAGACGUCACCUGCAAAAGCAAGUCUUGGUGCCUCAACUGGUCACUUUGGGAAAAACCACAGUUCCCCAAGGAUGCUCUCUGUCAAAGAUGAAUGCAAGGAUGAAGAAAUCUCGGAAGCGAUCACAGUUGUAAAGCGUGAACCGGGCUCAGAUGUUGAGUCAGAUCUGAAGGCUUGUCCGUACUGUCCUGCUGUAUUUGAGUCAGGAAUUAGCCUCUCUAAUCAUAUAAGAGGACAUUUGCACAGAGUGGGCCUGAAAGUACGGAAAGCUGCAGCUAAGGUGACUUCUCUUGAAAAAAUACCUCCAGUUCGACGACGAACACUUCCACAAGUCAAAACAGAAGAGGAUACAUCCCAGACUGAUCAUCCAGCAGAGCUGAAAACUGACUGCCAACAGACAGAGCUCAUCUGUCCUCUCUGUAGGGAGUGGUUUGACACAGGGACUGGGCUGUCCAACCAUGUCCGAGGCCACCUGAAGCGCCUAGGCAAACCCUCUUCCACCGCGUCUAAAUCUCCAGUGAUCAUAUUGAAAGAAUUGAUGCGUGACAAGAAACAGUUUCAGAUGAAGCUACAGGUUCUUGAGAAGAAGUGCCGUGCCACCAAUUCUUUCCAUCCUAUUAGGUUGAGUAACGGUUUAACAUUUGCAUCUACUGUCAAACGGCAGAAAGAUGAUAGGGAGGAAAAGAAAAGGAUAGACAUUGGUAAAGCCUCACCACCAAGUGAACUGAUUGGAAUUUUGAAGAAAAGAAGAGCCCAUGAAGAGACCAAAGCUAAGCACUCAUCCCACACGGCGAGAAAGGCUAUCCUUUUAUCUUCAGACAGAGACUGUGGCAUGGAGAUACAACCUUUCAAAGCAGUGCCAAAUUCACUAGCAGAGAAAAGUGAACUCAAUAGAAAAGUGUGUGUGCACUGUAAUACCACAUUCCACAGUGGUGUUAGUCUCUCCAAUCAUUUGAGGGCGUAUGCACAUAGAAAGAAAAAAGCUCUUCUGGACGGAACUAAGGGUUACUGAGAUCAAGUGAGUGUUAUUUCGACUGGUCAUGUGAUCUCAAUAUGACGGCGAGUUGUUCACCACAAGGGAAGUGAUAUUUACAUUACAUUAGUUUUGAAAGGUGUGAAACAUGGUGCACUUUUGUAUUAAAGAUUACUGAAUGUUAUAUAUGGAAUAGAUGCUUUAACAUAUUUUGCUAAACAUGUAAAAAAAAAAGAAAGAAAAACUUCUGUGUUGUCAUAGGUGAAAGCCAAUGGUGUGCUUUUUAAAAUGCCCUUAAUUUGUUUGUAUAAUUUCUAAUAAAUACAUUGUUUAUAAUUGCAGCUUUUGACUGUAAACAGAGAAAGCAAAGAUCAAGGUCUGGGUCGAAGAAGAAAAUGUAUCCUCUGCUGCACACACCAGAAGAAAUCUAUAGACUUACUUGCAGGUUUUGUGAUCUAGUCUUCCAGGGCCCUUUGUCAGUGCAGGAGGACUGGAUAAAGCAUUUACAGAGGCACAUCAUGAAUACCGCUGUACCGCACACAGGGGCAGGGAUGGUGGAAGUCACCUCCUUCCCCAAGGACUCUUGCCCCAACACAGUACCACAGGCACAACCUUCAGUGAUGCAAAUAUCCUCAUGAGCCCAGGAAAACACACAAUUUGUCCUUGGAAUAUCACUUGUAUGUAAAUUGUUUGGUUCACGUUCGAAUUUUAUAUCGCCAUCAGUAAGGACUCCAGUUUUUUUACUCUUAUUGAGGAUCCACUGUUAACAAAGACCGCUUUUUAGAUAUUGUUACAUUGUGCAAGUGUUGAACAUUGUCAAAGAACGUACAAACGGUGGGUGAAUAUGUUAAGAUUUCAGUGAAACCCACCAAAAGACAACCUUUACCUCAGAUCCUUCUCACACAGAGUUUAAUCUGUCAAGGCAGAUUUAUGCUCUACAAAAACUGAAAUGAAAAUUUAUGUGGAUUUUAUAUCAAGCCAUUUUAAUUUGAAAACCAACACAAUUUUUUUUUGUCCCAUCCAUGGAUUUUAAAAGGUGCACAUAUGAUGCAUGUGUAGAAAUGUAAGUCUAUAUAUUUACUUCUUAAUUUUGACUCAUGCCAACACACCAGUCAUUAUGUGAAACAACCCAUUCUAUUGAUAUUAGCAGUUUGGACAGUAUGCAUGUCAUAACUCCCUGUUUACACCAUUUCUGGUAACAUUUUGGUUUUUCAUUUAUUACCCUGUUUUGAUUUUAUCUUUAAUCUGUAAGUUUGCCACGUGUGCAAAAAAAAAAAAAAAAAAAGAAACAUUAACUGUUACUUGUGUAGGCCAUUUUUUACAGUUCAAAUAUUUUUGUGUAUAAACCUUUUUAGGUAAUUUAUGUACAAAAAAAAAAAAAAGUAAAUCCCUAUGAACAACUUUGCUGUUCAGAAUAAAAUGUUUUUGUCGUCUUCAA